CCUACCUACCGACCCUUAAAAUUUUGAGGUGAAACAUAUAAUUUUUUUUUUGGCCUUAGCUAUAUUCAUUUUGUAUUGUAGACCUAGUGUUGUUACUUAGAAGUGUAUGUACAUUUUCCAGACUAUGCAUAUAUGUUUUUACGCAAGUGCUGUGUUUAAAUGAAGUUUUGCCUUUGUGUUUGGUGUUCCUGCAGGGAAGUCAUUGUGGCCGAGUGGACUUACGCACUGGUUUGACAAUCUUUCUAGGCGGUGGGUGCCGUACGUCGCUGGUUCGACCCCGGGCUGGGGCGAAAAUUUUCAGUACCUAGUUGUGAUUAUUUAGUGCUUUAUAUUAAUUAAUUGAUUAUCACAUGUAUCGUUUAGAUCCUAGGGGUAAACGUAAGGUUGGGUGUUAUAAUUGUUUGUUUGUGCUUUAUAUAUAUAUAUAUAUAUAUAUAUAUCGACCUAGUGUUGCAUAUAUAUAUAUAUAUAUACAUACAUAGGCAACACUAGGUCUAUCUCUCUCUCUCUCUCUCUCUAUAUAUAUAUAUAUAUCAGACGAUGAGUAAGUACACAUGAUCCACAUUUAAUUAAUUACACUUAAACUUGACUUAAUAGAAUAGAAUAUGAUUUAUUUCCAAAUUAGGGCCCUCUCGGGCAUACAUCAUACAUGAUUGUUAACAUUUCAAUGUGCAAUGACGAUAAAAAGAAAAACAAAACAAAACAAGAGUAAAAUCUGCACUAUUAGUAUGAGCAAUGUUCAUACAUGAGACGUUUGAACAUGAUAAUACUUAUUUGUAUUAUAUGUAAGUACCACCGUGUAUCCUAAUGCAAAACAGUCAGAAAUACACAUAGGGGAAUAUAUAUAUAUAUAUAUAUAUAUAUAUAUAUAUAUAUAUAUAUAUAUAUAGAUGUCUAUAUAUAUACAUGUACAUAACAACUCUACAUGUAAUAAUAGUAAAGGUAGUAAAGUACAUAUGAUUAACUCCACUGUAAUGCAAAAGAUACCACGGGACGGUGCAUUGGUACUAAAUCAACAUGUCAUGUUUAUAAUGAGUGCAUAUAUGCAAUAUGGUUCACACAUAAUAUACAGUAAUACUAGAAUACUAGUAGUAUGAGCUUAGACAAUGUACAUAACACGAGACAUUACUUGAUGUAAUAUAUGUAAGUAGAAAAAUCCAAUUUCAAAGGUUGGGCGUGCAAUAUCUCCGGAAGUUGUGCAAUCUCUCGGAAGUGAUGUCAAAUAUGACUAUGAGUACAAUUAAAUAUUUGGUAUUAGUAAUGAAACAGAAUUUUAGAGAUGUUUGUUCACAAAGCAGUCAACUACUGGCCUAAGUGAAUACAAACACGAAAUAUUACAAUCUGGAAUUUCAAUUCAACACCAUCAGUCCAUCACCCCGUCCUCGACUGAUUCACCAUAUAUUUGGGUAUAGUAAAAUCAUAUAUAAACUGCGGUACGUAUUUACCUUCAAUUAUUUUUCAUUAAUUUGACAGCUUAACGUUUUUCAUCAUGGGUUUUACAAGGCGACUCGCUUCAUCUUUACCGCCAUAUUGUACACGCCGUGUAUGGCAUCAUGGUCGGUUCUUUUGAUAUUAUUGAAUUAACUCUUAAGGGUUGUUAUUCUAUUCCCACACAUCUACUGUAAUAUUUAAGCAUUAAUUUUGUUUAUUUUAAAACUUAUCUGUAAGAUCGUAAUGUUUAUAUUUAGGCCUAAUUAGCUAACCCAACAACACGUGCUGAUUCAUAUUAUUCCUCUGAUAAUAUUGUUCAACUUCGUAGAAAAUGUUGCGACGUACCAAGCGACCAUCUAAAUCGCCUUACGCUAGACCGGCACAACAUCCAGCUCUUCGGUCAUUGCCCACACAGAAUUUGACCCCUGCAAUUCCAACCCGGAUUCAGCCCCGUCCAACAUCAAGUCAACCCCAAGAGGAGAAUCAGAUGGGCAUAUAGGACACAGCUACCAUUUUAUAAUCACAAAGGUGUAUGGAACGCCAAAUUAACAUAAACUCAAAUAAUUGAAGAUAUCUUCAAUUAUUUGAAGAUAUCAUUAAUUCAUUUGAUGCGCGCAACAAUUGAAUUAAAGAUAUCUUCAAAUAAUUAAUGAUAUCUUCAAUUCUGAAUUAUUGCGCGCAUUAAUUGAAUUGAUGAUAGCAUUAAUUCUUCAGCUGAAUUGAUGCUUGCUUUAAUUGAAUUAAUGAUCUCUUCAAAUGAAUUAAUGAUAUCAACAAUUGAAUUGAUGCGCGCUACAAUUCAAUUGAAGAGAGCAAUAAUUGAUAUAAUGCGCGCAUUAAAUCAUAUUGAUGAGAGCAAUAAUUGAAUUGAUGCGCGCAUUAAUUCAUUUGAUGAGAGCAAUAAUUGAUUUAAUGCGCGCAUUAAUUCAAUUAUUGCGCUCUUCAAUUGAAUUAGUGAUAUCUUUAAUUCAUUUGAAGAGAGCAAUAAUUCUUUUAGAGAGAGCAACUAUAUAAUUAAAGAUAUCUUUAAUUCAACAUAUCCACAAUUGAAUUAAUGAUCUCUUUAAUUUAAUUGUUGCUCUCUUUAAAAGAAUUGAUGCGCGCAUUAAUUCCGUUUACAAAAGCAUUGUAAAUGAUUUAAAGAUAUCUUCAAUUGAAUUAAAGAGAUCAUCAAAUUAUUUAUACCGAGCUCUAAAUUAAUUAUUGCGAGCAAUAUUUCUACUAAAUUGAUGCUCUCAUCAAAUGAAUUGAAGAGAGCAAUAAUUGAAUUAAUGCUCGCAUCAAAUCUAUUAUUGCUCUCAUUAAUUGAAUUAAUGCGCGCAUCAAUUGAAUUGAAGAGAGCAAUAAUUGAAUUAAUGCGCGCAUUAAAUCAAUUAUUGCUCUCAUUAAUUCAAUUGAUGCGCGCAUUAAUUCAAUUGAUGAGAGCAGUAAUUGAAUUGAAGCGCGCAUUAAUUCAUUUGAUGAGAGCAAUAAUUGAUUUAAUGCGCACAUUAAUUCAAUUAAAGAGAGCAAUAAUUGAAUUGAUUUUAUCUUCAAAUAAUUGAAGAUAUCUUCAAUUAUUUGAGUUUAUGUUAAUUUGGCGCUCCAUAAAGGUAGCCUCCCAGCCUAAUCGCGGAAACCACUGCACCCACUCAGCCACCGGCGACACCCUUCAUAACAGUAUCUGGGGAGUCGUCCCCAGUACGACCUGUUUGGCAGACAGCUUCCGGAGCCCGGAUGACAGUUCCCGCCAAGAGGCAUCUUGCGAUCAGAGCUUGAAUACGAAAGACGUAGAGAAUAGACGAACACACGAAUAACGACGAACAGUGAAAAGGUUCAUUCAGCGUUAUGCAUAGGUAAGUCUGUGGGUAACUCACGGGUUUACUGGGUCACACUAACACCCUAAUUACUUUAUUGGCGCCCAACGUGGGACCACAGGCUUAUCGGUGAAUUGACAGUUUGUUGUUUUUUCACACCACGCUGGUCAGCCGCCAUAUUGGCGGGAAGUCUCAGUUUGACUUGGAAAAAAAAAUUUCACUUUGAAUUAAAUUAAGAUUUUUGUGAUUAUUUUAGGAUUUAAUAUUUAAUUACAGAAUCAAUUUAGAUUAUUGACAUUUGCAUUUUUGUAUAUUUGUGCAUUGUUGUGUAUUAUGGAUACAUCUUUUGAUGAAGCGCUGUUUGGAUUGGGCUUACGAGCCCACCCAGACACCCCCGCGUUCACGCGUCGUGGCCCUACGCUGUCGCAGUUAGCUUCAGGUAGAGUUGA